rnacentral:lncRNA from 1 species
UAAUUCUUCGUUGUGUGUGUGUGAAUAUGAAUGUGAACGUACCUGGUUGUGAAGACUUGGUUGAUAGGAUAUACUCUCUUGCCCGAUUUACCGUGCCACCUACUACUAACUGACACAGCCCCCUGAUCUGAUGGGUUCUGCCGACUGCAUGCAGUCUAUCCACUACCUUUGGUCACUGUUUAUGCCUCCGACCGGCUAUAAUCCCAUCCACAUUAAUGCAUGGCAGGUGUCUCAGUCAACUGUCAUGCUUUUUCAUCAUUGCAAGUCAAAGUAAUAGAUAUUAAAAAGAUCUAAUGGGUUAGUCUAAUGAACCGACCCGAUUUUAUAGAGUUCAAUAGAACAAUAUAGUGACUAGGCCCAAUGACUUUCAAGGUUUAAUAAUGAAGGCCCAAUAAACUAGUUAAAUAAAUGAGCCCAAUUCAUUCGGCCCAAAUAGGAGAAAUAUCAUGACCCAACAUUGCCCCCUAGUUUAUUAUUAAACAGAAUUUUUAAUAGAAAACUAUAAAUAGUCCAUGAUAUUAGAAUUUACUAAAGGCCCAUAACAUGAAGCAAUUGAGACAUACCUGAUUUGGUCCAUAAGGUGAGAUAAAGGAUGGCUGAACGUCCAACGUGAAAAGCCCAAUCAAUAAAGGAUUGAAAUUGAAAAAGAUGGACUAAAAACCGGAAACCCAACCGAGAAGCCCAAUCUGAUAAAAUAUCUAAGGCUUGAUCCGGACGCUUCCCAUUCGAAUUCUCAUCAUUGCCAGAAAUUAAAUGUGCCGCCUUCGUAACUCGUGUAACCGUCAGUAUAAAAGGUAAACUUUACCAAUUUUGACAGUUUUACCUGUCAAUUUGAAUUUUGAACCCUUGAGCUUUUUUCUUCUCUCCAGAACUUCUCUUCUCUACUCUGCGAAAUCCCAACAAUGGUGGCUGUGAACCCUAACCAGAGCUCUCCCCUUUGUGUGACCCCCAUCACUACUAUUCAACCCAGCCCCAAUACUUCUAAAAAAGCAUCGAGUUCAAACCCCAAGGUUGCUACCACGAGCGGAAAACCUAUGUCUCCGAGACCCGUAUCUGACCCCUCUGAUUUCUUCAAGAGCAAGAAGCAGUAUCCCCAUGCCAACACGCCUUCCAUCAUUUUUGAGACCGAGUUAAGGAAGAUUAGGGCUCGCUAUCACAUUCCUGACACCCAUCUGAUAAGAUCCCCCAAAUCUGAAGAGAGGAUAUAUCAACGUCACGAGGGAUGGACGGCCGUACCAGUAACUUUACUUGAGAAGGGGGUUAGGUUUUCCCUUCAUAUCUUUCUGGUUACCCUUCUGGGGUUUAUUGGGGUAGGGUUUACCCAAUUGGUGCCAAACUCCUACAUCCACAUCUUAGCUUUUAUCGCAUUCUGUCACGAAUUGGGGGUCGAGCCUACUCUCGAUUUUUUCUUUACUGUAUACAAGAUUGCCCAAAGUAGGGAAAAGGGGUUCAAAGUAUUAGGCAAGCAUGUACAGAAGGCAGGUGAGAAAUUUGAGAGGCGAUCACUGAUAAACACCCCUUUGAGCAAUAGAGGAUGGCACGAGAGAUGGUUCUUCGUCAAAGGACCCGAGAUUGCCUCUCUACCGAACUGGACCACGAGCGAUGUGGUCUCCACCGAUUUUGGAGAUAUAUCCGAAGAGCGUGUAGCCGAACUGAUCGAUUUCAUGCGCAAUUUCCCAAAGGAAGAGUGGAAAUAUGGACUCAUUUCUAAACAGGCUUGGCUAUAUGAUCAUAAACGUAAGUACCGAACUACUUUUAUAUAUAUUUCUGUGAAAUCUUUGAUAAUAUUGGUUCUGACUCGUCUUUACAUAAUCAUCGCAGUGUCUCUGGUUAGACCGAACUCUUCAGAGAUAAAAGAGUUCGAAGACUUUUUGGCAGGGAAGAAUACGGAUGCAAGUGAAGAGCCUCCGACUAAAGAAUCUCCCCGAGCCGAUCCCAUCAUUACCGAUCCACCCACUGUUUUUCCUCAGAAUGACGAACCCCAAAUUGAUGAACCCAUUGUUGCUGAAGAAUCUCUCAGACCCCGUCGAAGAAAAAGAGCCGCCAAAAAAUCUAAGUCCAUUCAGCCAGAAACAAUCCUUGAAAUUGAUCCAGAAAUAAUUCCAGAAGCAAUCCCACAAGCAAGCCCUAGUUCUGUACCUUCCGAAUCCGUCUCAACUAAGAGAAGUUUGUUUGAUAUACCUCUGCAUGAACGGGUGAAAGUUCUUCGUGUUAAGAGAUUGAGAACAAAGGUCACCCCUCUAACUUCUGAUGAGCUUCGAGUCCCUCUAUCCUCGACUGACACCCCUCCUGUAAUCCCAGCUGAAAUUUAAAUACCUGAUGAUGAGCUGGUCGAAUCCAUCCCCGAACUAUCUAGGAAAAGGAAACAACCAUCCAGGUCCAUCCUCUGCUUCCUCACCAGCCCACGAACCUAAUCCUGUUCGAUCUCCCCCUCCGGAGAAUAUAUACACGGAUCCAACACCAACUCGCGAUCAACCCAUGCCUUCCCCUCCAAGACAGUCAACUUCUGAAUUUCAGUAUGAUGCCAUGGCCUCUCCAACCAUGUGGCCCCGAUUCAAUGCCAACUUUCCCUUCCAAUUAUUCGAUGCCUUCAUCCGUGAUACCGAUGACCAUCGAUUUGGUAACAGUUCAAACAUGGACCUGCUCAAGGAAGGCAUGAGUUAUCUGGCGAAGGUAAAGUGGUUUUCUUUGUAAUUUUUGUAUUUAUCUUAAUAUUUAGGCACUCUAAACUGAUCAAAUAAUGUUACAUAUGCGUAGGCGAAUGCUGUAUUCGGACGCCUGCAUCCAAAGUCUAUCGAAGCUGAGGCCGAAGAAAAGGCAAUGAGAAAGGAGAACCCUAUCUUAAAGUCUGCUUUGGCCCGGGAAAGGACUCAACGUGAAAGUGCUCUUCAUACAAAUAAAGGUCUUCGAAAACAUUUGGCCCAAGCCAAAGGAGAUGUGAAGACAUCCAAUGAAGAAAUGAAGUCAACUAAAGCACAAUACGAGGAGAUCGUCAAGAUGAACGUUGAUUUGGUUCAGAGGAACGAAAUAAGGAUGGGGAAGAUCAAAGAGUUAAAGGCUGAUGCUAAGAUCUUGACUAAAACGAUCCAAAAGCUAGAGCUAGCAGAAACUCAUCAUCUGAAUAAGCGUCAGAAGUUUGAAGAAGAAAUCCGAGAACUCAAGGCUCUUCGGGAUCUAGGACCUCCUUUGACCGAUGAUCUUCGAAAAUAGAUCCAUGAAGAGUAUCGGAAAUUGGAUGAUAUCAAUGGCGAAAUUAUGAAGAUAUACUCCGAAGGAUACGAGCUCUGCCGGAGUCGUGGCAAGAAGAAGUUGAUUACAGCUAACGUGGAUCCAUCCCUUCUCGAUUCUUCAGAUGGUGAAGACAAUGCUUGACAAUGUUACUAUUUUAUUCUGAAUUUUUAAGGCUGUGGAAAUUAUCUAUUUUUUGUGAGUUGUUGAAGGAUUUUAUUUAAAACUUUGGUUUAAGGACCUUUUGCUAUGAUUCCUAUGUUUUUGAGAUCGUUCCGGAAUUUCUGUUUUUGCUCAAUGUGUUUGUCAAUAUGAAUGAAUAGAUCGAUACCUAGUGAUGAAAUUUCAGCUUUCUAUGUCAUGGCUUCUACACAAUGCUUUUCGUUUCUUGUCAAUAAUUCAGUAUUGAUUAAUCUGUAUGGACUUAACUUAGGGCAUGGAUCAGAUAAGACAUAUGACAGCUAAUUUAUGAAAUGAAGUAAACUGAAUUUAAAGGAUAGAACUGACUGAACUGAAUUGAAUGAACUGAACUCAACACUUGAAUAAAAUAAAGUAUUGUAUACUUAUCGUUUCCGAAGUGUGAGAUCGGCCAUAUGUCAGAUGAAUUCGGCUGAUCCUCUUUGCACCAUCGGAAUUUUACCACUCGGGGUGAAACAAUUAUAUAAGAACCAAGAUAUAAAGACCAUGGAAUUUGUCUACCACACGGGGUCACAAAUUCAUAAGGACACUCCUGACAAUAAAGCUGCCAUCGAAUGGCCAGCAAGUCCGACCAUACCUCCUUACACCAUUGUGAACUUAGGACAAAUAAGAAGAGGAUCAGUUGUGAAAAAGUGAACUUUUAUAGAUGGUGAACAAUCAUGUACAGACUUCUUGGUAAACUGACUCGAUCUCUACUAGAAAUAUUUUUGAAGCCUGCCUGCAUGCCAAGUGUUCUUGAUCUCGGAUCCAUCUAAUUCUUUUAAAUGAUAAGUCCCUGGCUUUGGUACUUCGAUCACCUCAUACGUCCCUUCCCAGUUCGGCAUUAACUUUCCUGUGUUUUGAGGCAUAGACGCUUCGGCUUCUCUGAGGACAAAGUCUCCUACUUCGAAUCUACAAAGUUUAACCCCUUUGUUGUAAUGCUUAGCUACUCUUCGUUGAUAAGCAGCCAAUUUAAGCAAAGCUACCUCUCUGACUUCUUCUAGCAGAUCCAAGUUAGCCUUCAGUCCUUCGUUAUUGUAGAUCUCUUUGAAUUUACUGACCCAAAGACUUGGAGAUCUGAUUUCGACUGGGACUAAGGCAUCAGUACCAUAGGCCAAUCGAAAAGGUGAAUCCUCUGUGGUGGUCCUCGGUGUAGUCCGGUAAGCCCACAGUACGCUGAGCAGUUCUUUUGGCCAUCUUCCUUUAGCUUCAUCCAGUUUGCGCUUGAUCCCGUUCAGAAGCGUCCUGUUGGUCACCUCGACUUGCCCGUUCGACUGUGGAUGAGCCACCGAAGUCUUCUUGUGCUGAAACCCCAGCUCCUUCAAAAAUCCUUCAAAUUUUGAUCCCACAAACUGGCGUCAAUUUUCUGAUAUCACCACUUUGGGAAUUCUGAAGCGAAAUAUUACGGACUCUUUCAUGAACUUCAAACAUUCCUGCUCUUUUAUCAACCGAAGUGGCUUCACCUCUACCCACUUGGUCAUGUAAUCAAUAGCAACUAUUAUGAAGUUAACCUGUCCCUUAGCUUUUGGCAAUAGACCCAAUAUAUCAACCCCCCAGACAGCAAAGGGUAUAGGAGAUAGAAUCGAGUAUAGCUCUUCUGGUAGCUGGUGUGGGAUCGGACUGUUGAGCUGACACUUCUCACACUUCUUCACAUACUCGGUAGCUUCCUUGAAGAUCGAUGGCCAGUAGUACCCUUGCCGAAGAACUUUGUAUGCUAAUGACUUAGCAACCAUGUGAUCACCACAGAUACCUUCAUGAACCUCCCGAAGGGCAUAUUCAGCUUCAAAAGGAACCAGACACUUCAACAAUGGUGACGAAAAUGCCCUUCGAUAAAGAUCCCCAUCAAUAAGAACGAAGUUGGCACUCUUGUACUUGAUCUUCUUUUCCAGCAUCUGAUCCGAAGGAAGGACGCCAUUUGCUAAAUACUCGAUGUAGGGAGUCAUCCAGCAGUUAGAUUGCUCGAUACACAUCACCGCUUCAUGCUGAACACUCGGCUGCUGGAAAACCUCCAAAUAGACCGAUCCGUUAAAAACAUCUGCAUCCGUGGUGGCCAGCUUUGACAGUGCAUCGGCAAUGGAAUUAUCGUUACGCUAGAUGCCCUGAAACUCAUAAGAGAUAAAGUACUGAAGUCUGUCUUUCAAUUCUGUCAAAUACUUGAUCAUCCUUGUCCCGCGAGCUUCAUAAUCUCCCGAAAGUUGUUUGACGACCAACUGAGAGUCAUUGUAAAUGAUCAGCUUCUGGACCUCUAGACUCUUCGCCAGUCGAACUCCUGCUAACACUGCUUCAUACUCGGCCUCGUUGUUUGUUGCUUUGAACCCAAAUCUGAUUGCUUGAUGCACCUUGAAUCCUUCCGGACUUGUCAAUAUAAUCCCUGCCCCACUAACAUUCACCGUAGAGGACCCAUCUGCAUACAGCGUCCAUGUAUUCGGAAUGUAUGACCCCAACUUGUUAUUAAUGAAAUUUAAUUUUCUCUAUUUAUUAUUUUGAAAUAGUAAGGGUUGAUUUGAUUAAUGUGGAUAGUUAUGGGUAAAAUACGCAAAUAUUUCAAAAUAAGCAAGUGGUUAUAAAAUAUUCAUUGUUGUCGGGGAAUAUUUGUUUGGUCGUGGAAUAUUCGUACUGUCGGGGAAUAUUCAUACGACGGCGCAGCCAUGUAUGGGUCCCAUAACGGAAAACGAUUUGAUGAAGAAAACGAUAAAUAUAAGUUGUUUAAAAAUAACGGCGUAGUUGUUACCGUUAAUACUGUUAAAAUACUCGGUGGUUAACACACAGUAGCACACGGUAUUGCACCAAUUAUUGAUUCUUACGUAAGUAGGCACUACUCAAUAAUGGUUACAGUAAUUACUGUUCAGAAUUUUAUUUAAUUGAUUUAAUAAUUACUGCGUUGAUAUUUUAUAUUGUUGUUAUUUCAAUAAUUGUCAUUACACAGUAUUUUUCAUUAUCGAAGCAAUAAUUCAUAUUAUCUGAAUAAUAUUAUUAGAUAACAUUAUUGGCAAUGUCUAGAAAGUUCUGUCUAAGGAGAGGUUUGGUCACCUAAUUGCGCGCCAGUAAGGAGAAAUUCUUAUUGGAAAGCCCCCUCUUUCCUGGGAACUGCCUGGUUGUCAAUAUUGUGAUUCUGUAAUAUUAUUUGUGAAUAAUUAAUUAUUGAUUCAUAUGAUGAGGAAAAUAUUGAUUUUAUGUGGAUAUAGAUGGAGAAAAUUUUUAAUGUGACAAUUGUUGAAAAUUGAAAUUUUAUCUUUUUCUGAUAAAAUAAUUCAUAUAUAUAUAUAUAUUAUUAUAUUUUAAUAAUAUAAUAAUGGUGAUAUUUUUACAACGAAUGUGGGAUAUAUGAGUAUACGAGGAGGAAGAGUAUUUUUGUUGCAAUAAAUGUUUAAAACAUGUUAAACAUGUCGGUGGACCCCAUUUCUUGACUGAAAUUUGAUUAUAGCCUGUAAAAUCGCCCGUUUGUGGAUUUCGGUCAAUUUCUGUUUGGAAUUUGGAAAAACUUUCUUCUGCAAAGUUGUAGAGAAUUGAAUUUCCUAUAAAAACUCGCGAGAUUCGAAUUUUCUGACAAAAGGGCUAUUUAUUGUGAAUUAUUGAAGUUCCGAAGCUCCGAAAUAAUUGAUUUUUGGAAGUUUAAAAUAUUUUAAAUAACAAAAACGUUUUUUUCAUUAUGGUGUGUUACACAUGUGUGUUGAAUGAGCUGAAUUCAGUUCUUGGAAGGUUGGCGUAGGAAAAUUUAAUAUAUAUAUUAAUAUUUUAUUAAAUUUUCUGCUUUGGUGUUCUAAGCAUUUUCCUAUAAAUAGGGUGCUUAGGUUAGAAUUGAAAAUCACACCAGAAACUGAAGUUUUCUCUCUCUAUAUUAUCGAGCGUAUUCUUGUGAGUAUUUUGAGUAUAUUUUGAGUAUUGCUAUACGGUGCAAGUUCAAGUCAUAGCCUAUAUCCGGUGUUUCAGCUAGAAGUACUGAUCUUUCGAGGUAAGGGAUAUUUUUUUUUUUCGUAAUGAUAUUAUUUCUUCAAUAUCAUUAUGCUGAAAUAUUGAUCUGAAGUUUUUAUCAAAUUUGGAACUUUUGGUGUCGGAGUUACUAUUCACGUAUACGGCACUAUUCACGUAUACGGUACUAUUCACGAAUACGGCACUAUUCAUCGAAAAAUGAAAAUUUUCCUUUUCGUCCAAAAUAUCUAUUGUGGAUACUAGCUUUGAUUGUAUCCAUGUUUUGAUCAUUCUUGAAUUUUACACCACUAUGAUUAUUUUUGAGGUAUUUUUGGACAUGGAUAAAACAAAGUACGAAUCCUUAAUCCUUAAUCCUUGUCAUUUUGUUUCACUGGAUUCGUUUCUUUAAAAAUAUUUUUCAUCAUCCUCAGUCUUAAAUGAUGAUAUUAUUGAAUAUCUUUGGCCUGUAGUGCAAAGAUGAAUGAUUUCUGAUGAAUAUCUUUGGCCCGUAGUGCAAAGAUGAACAGGUGUUUAGAUGAACAUGACCAACUGAUGAAUAUCUUUGGCCUGUAGUGCAAAGAUGAAUAUUUGAUUCCAGAUAUAUAUUGAUUGAUGUUACAGGGAUAAAAGAUAGACGAUGAACUUUUAAAUUCAUACAUAGAAGAUAGUAGUUUGCAUUCUCUACUUAACUCUUCUAAUGAAUUAUUAUUUCCGCUGCGAAUAUUGAUUUAAAACUUGUUGUCUAUUGUAUUCUAUUAGAUUUUUCCCUGUUGAAGACUAACGAUAAUUUGUUGUAUAUUAUCUUAGUCAUAAUAUUCUUUACUGGGCUAGUUGAGCUCACCCUUUUCCUUUUUGUUCCAUUUUUCUUCUCAGGAGGCGAGAAUAUAGCGAGUACGAGUCGGGGUAUGGAAUGAAGGUUCUAGAGAGAGUUGUUUAGUAGUCCUCACCAUUUUUGUAAAAUAAUGUAUCAAUAAAUGUGAUGAGGAUUUAUUUGAGUAUAGAUAUUGUCUAGAAGAUAAUAUUUGUAUUCAAACUCACAGUUUUACUGUUGUAAUAAUAAAGUUGUAGUUGUUUCUGUACCAUGUAUUGACAACUCAGAAUGGGUGAUGUAUACCUAUUUUGGGGGCGUCACAGUUGGUAUCAGAGCUUAGGGAUAUGAUCUCUGGCGGAGAUCGGGGAAUAGAACUAGGAGGGGAGAGACGAGUAAAUCCUUCGCUAGUGUGUCCUACCUAAGCUUAUUUGUUAGUUGGUCAGUAUAUAGGGAUAUUAUGUGAUAUAUUGAUUUCCUUAAUUAACCCUUGUUUUAUGACAGUAUUUGAGAAUGUCGACUGAGAAUAUUAACAAUGGAAAUGAGACCGUGGAGACGCCUGUACUCACCAACGAGGAGAACGUGCAACAGGCUGGCAAUGUUCCUCCUGUGAACAACACCACUGAGCAGAUGAUGAACGAGGGGAUGUUUAGAAGCUUUUUGCAGUUCAUGCAAAAUCAGACGAGGGAGACUCGUGUUCAAAAUACAGGAGGAAAUGAUAGCAAUUCACGGGUUGUCACAGCCAAGCAGUUCAAAGAGUUGGGACCACCAGAAUUUAAGGGAAAGCCAGAUCCGAUCAUGGCGGAAACAUGGGUCAAGCAAAUUACCAAGAUAUUCGAUGUCUUGGGAUGCACGGAGGAACAGAAGGUUCCAUUCGCCACCUUUAUGUUCCGUGGCGAGGCAGACUACUGGUGGGAGUCUGUGAAGCGUACCCAUCCAGCCGCACUCAGCAUGUCUUGGGAGACAUUUCAGAAACUAUUUAAUGACAAAUACUUUCCUGAAAGUGUUCGUCAUAUGAAGGAAGUGGAGUUCAUCAGAUUUGAGCAGAAUAACAUGACGGUGUACCAGUACGAGGCAAAGUUUGCAGAGUUAUCCAGGUUUGUACCUCAUUUGGUGGAGAAUGAGGAACGUAUGACGCGGAUGUUUCUUAGAGGUUUGAAACCCGGCAUACGUCAGUAUCUCAUUUCUCAUAAAUUUUUUCUCUAUUCAGAUGUUGUAAACAUGGCUCAAUUAUUAGAGCGAGAUAACGAGUACGGUCAACCGAGGGACCACAACCAGGAUAAUACCAGAGAUAACAGUCAACAAAACAACGAUAACCAGCGGAGAAAGAAAAAGACAGACAAAAAUGGUAACCACUCUGGUGGUAAUCAUGGCCAUGAGAAUAGAAGAAGCGAGUCAGGAGGAGAUUUUAAAAAGAGGAGAUUNNNNNNNNNNNNNNNNNNNNNNNNNNNNNNNNNNNNNNNNNNNNNNNNNNNNNNNNNNNNNNNNNNNNNNNNNNNNNNNNNNNNNNNNNNNNNNNNNNNNAGUUGGGAUAAGUAUUUACCAUUGGUGGAAUUCUCCUACAACAACAGUUAUCAGGCAAGUAUAGGUGUGGCUCCAUUCGAAGCAUUAUAUGGACAAAAAUAUCGCUCUCAAAUAUAUUGGGACGAGGUGGGUGAAGCAACAUUGUUGGGACCUGAGUUGGUAUGUAUGACUACGAAAAAGAUCCAAAUGAUUCGACAACGUAUACAAACGGCACAAGAUCGACAAAAGAGUUAUGCAGAUCUUCAUCGAAAAGACGUGGAAUUUAGUAUUGGGGAUCACGUAUUGUUGCGUGUAGCUCCAUGGAAGGGAGUUACAAGAUUUGGGAAGAGAGGAAAGCUCAAUCCACGAUUUAUCGGUCCAUUUCAAAUUCUUGACCGAGUAGGAAAUGUAGCCUAUAGACUCGCAUUACCUCCGAGUAUGUCUCGUGUUCAUAAUGUGUUUCACAUAUCUUUACUUCGUAAAUAUGUGAAAGACCCGAACCACGUUAUAGAGUUAGAACCGGAUGAGAUAGCCGAAGACUUAACGUAUGAGGAGGUACCUGUCAAGAUCUUGGAUAGGAAUGAGCAUGUCCUACGUAAAAAGGUCAUAUAACAAGUUAAAGUUUUGUGGAAGAAUCAUGCUAUAGAGGAAAUGACCUGGGAAUUGAAAACGGAAAUGAAAGCGAGGUAUCCUCACCUUUUCGAAACACCAGGUACGUACAUCAAUUUCGAGGACGAAAUUUCAUAAGGAGGGGAGGUUGUAAGACCCCAACUUGUUAUUAAUGAAAUUUAAUUUUCUCUAUUUAUUAUUUUGAAAUAGUAAGGGUUGAUUUGAUUAAUGUGGAUAGUUAUGGGUAAAAUACGCAAAUAUUUCAAAAUAAGCAAGUGGUUAUAAAAUAUUCAUUGUUGUCGGGGAAUAUUCGUUUGGUCGUGGAAUAUUCGUACUGUCGGGGAAUAUUCUUAUGACGGCACAGCCAUGUAUGGGCCCCAUAACGGAAAAAGAUUGGAUGAAGAAAACGACGAAUAUAAGUUGUUUAAAAAUAACGGCGUAGUUGUUACCGUUAAUACUGUUAAAAUACUCGGUGGUUAACACACAGUAGCACACGGUAUUGCACCAAUUAUUGAUUCUUACGUAAGAAGGCACUACUCAAUAAUGGUUACAGUAAUUACUGUUCAGUAUUUUAUUUUAUUGAUUCAAUAAUUGCUGCGUUGAUAUUUUAUAUUGCUGUUGUUUCAAUAAUUGUCAUUACACAGUAUUUUUCAUUAUCGAAGCAAUAAUUCAUAUUAUCUGAAUAAUAUUAUUAGAUAACAUUAUUGGCAAUGUCUAGAAAGUUCUGUCUAAGGAGAGGUUUGGUCACCUAAUUGCGCGCCAGUAAGGAGAAAUUCUUAUUGGAAAGCCCCCUCUUUCCUGGGAACUGCCUGGUUGUCAAUAUUGUGAUUCUGUAAUAUUAUUUGUGAAUAAUUAAUUAUUGAUUCAUAUGAUGAGGAAAAUAUUGAUUUUAUGUGGAUAUAGAUGGAGAAAAUUUUUAAUGUGACAAUUGUUGAAAAUUGAAAUUUUAUCUUUUUCUGAUAAAAUAAUUCAUUUAAAUAUAUUAUUAUAUUUUAAUAAUAUAAUAAUGAUGAUAUUUUUACGAUGAAUGUGGGAUAUAUGAGUAUAUGUGGAGGAGGAGUAUUUUUGUUACCAAAAAUAUUUAAAGCAUGUUUUAUGUGUCGGUGGACCCCAUUUCUUGACUGAAAUUUGAUUAUAGCCUGUAAAAUCGCCCGUUUAUGGAUUUCGGUCAAUUUUUGUUUGGAAUUUGGAAAAACUUUCUUCUGUAAAAUUGUAGAGAAUUGAAUUUCCUAUAAAAAGUCGCAAGUUUCGAAUUUUCUGACAAAAGGGCUAUUUAUGGUAGUGGCGUAGGAAUUUUGAUAUAUAUAUUUAUAUUUUAUUAAAUUUUCUGCUUUGGUGUUCUAAGCAUUUUCCUAUAAAUAGGGUGCUUAGGUUAGAAUUGAAAAUUACACCAAAAACUGAAAUUUUCUCUCUCUAUAUUAUCGAGUGUAUUCUUGUGAGUAUUUUGAGUAUUGCUAUACGGUGCAAGUUCAAGUCAUAGCCUAUAUCUGGUGUUUCAGCUAGAAGUACUGAUCUUUAGAAGUAAGGGAUAUUAUUUUUUUUAAAAAUGAUAUUAUUCCUUCUAAUAUCAUUAUGCCGAAGUAUUGAUCUGAACUUUUAAUCAAAUUUGGAACUUUUAGUGUCGGGGUUACUAUUCGCGUAUACGGCACUAUUCACGUAUACGGUACUAUUCACGAAUACGGCACUAUUCAUCAAAAAAUGAAAAUUUUCCUUUUCUUCCAAAAUAUUUAUUAUAGAUACUAGCUUUGAUUGUAUCCAUGUUUUGAUCAUUCUUGAAUUUUUGGACAUGAAAUAGCUGAAAUACAAAUCCUUAAUAUUUAUUCUUUUGUUUCACUGGAUUCGUUUUCUUUGAAAUAUUUUUCAUCAUCCUCAGUCCUAAAUGAUGAUAUUACUGAAUAUCUUUGGCCUGUAGUGCAAAGAUGAAUGAUUUCUUGAUGAAUAUUUUUGGCUCGUAGUGCAAAGAUGAACAGGUGUUUAGAUGAACAUGACCAACUGAUGAAUAUCUUUGGCCUGUAGUGCAAAGAUGAAUAUUUGAUUCCAGAUAUAUAUUGAUUGAUGUUACAGGGAUAAAAGAUAGACGAUGAACUUUUAAAUUCAUACAUAGAAGAUAGUAGUUUGCAUUCUCUACUUAACUCUUCUAAUGAAUUAUUAUUUCCGCUGCGAAUAUUGAUUUAAAACUUGUUGUCUAUUGUAUUCUAUUAGAUUUUUCCCUGUUGAAGACUAACGAUAAUUUGUUGUAUAUUAUCUUAGUCAUAAUAUUCUUUACUGGGCUAGUUGAGCUCACCCUUUUCCUUUUUGUUCCAUUUUUCUUCUCAGGAGGCGAGAAUGUAGCGAGUACUAGUCGGGGUAUGGAAUGAAGGUUCUAGAGAGAGUUGUUUAGUAGUCCUCACCAUUUUUGUAAAAUAAUGUAUCAAUAAAUGUGAUGAGGAUUUAUUUGAGUAUAGAUAUUGUCUAGAAGAUAAUAUUUGUAUUCAAACUCACAGUUUUACUGUUGUAAUAAUAAAUUUGUAGUUGUUUUUGUACCAUGUAUUGACAACUCAGAAUGGGUGAUGUAUACCUAUUUUGGGGGCGUCACACGGAACAUGCUGAAGAAUAGCAACUGCUCGAUCAGACGUCUCAGCCUCUGGCAACUCGACAUCUGCUUCGGUGAACGAACAUUCCACCAUAAAAUCGGCCAAGGCCUGACCCUUGAUAGCGGUUCGGGGAUGGUAUUCGAUAAAAAAUUGGGACAAUUCCAUCGUCCAUGCUGCCAACCUCCCCGAAACCUCUGGCUUGCUCAUCACCUUCUUCAAUGGCUGAUCCGUGUAGACGACCAGGAGCCGACCUUGAAAAUAUUGGCGAAGCUUUCUACUAGCAAUUAUCAAAGCAAAAGCAAAUUUUUAAAUAUUCGGGUACCUGGUUUCAGCAUCUCGUAGGACGUGACUGACAUAAUAGACCGGAUGCUGCUUUCCACUGACCUCCCGAACCAGCACUGCUCCAACUGCCAACGAACUUGCUGCAAGGUACAAAUACAAAGUCUCUGCUGGGGCAGGCUUCACCAAUAAAGGAGCAGAAGACAGAUAUGUCUUUAUGCCUUGGAAGACGUCUUCACACUUCGAAGUCCACUGGAACGUCUUCUCAUUCGUCGGCCCCUUCAAUGUGUCAAAGAACGGCAAGCAUCUCUCCGCAGACCUCGACAUAAAUCUCCUCAGAGCUGCAAUCAUGCCAGUCAGACGUUGGACAUCUUUGAACAACUGAGGAGUCUUCAUGUCAAGAAUGGCCUUGAUCUUCUCCGGAUUGGCUUCAAUGCCCCUCUGACUGACCAGAUACCCCUGGAACUUCCCUGCACCGAGUCCGAAGGUACACUUUGCCAGAUUGAGCCUUAGCUUGUGAUGACAGACAGCCUGAAAGCAUUCCUCCAGAUCGUCCAAGUGCUUCUGAACCUGCAUGCUCUUCACGGUCAUAUCAUCUACGUACACCUCCAUGUUCUUCCCCAGCUGUCUAUCGAAUAUGAAAUUCAUCAUUCUUUGGUAGGUGGUUCCAGCAUUUAUAAGGCCAAAGGUCAUCUUCUUAUAGGUAUACACCGAACGGUGUGUAAUAAUUAUUGUCUUCGGAAUGUCCUCCUUGCACAUGGAAAUUUGAUGAUAACCUGAAAAAUCAUCCAUAAAGCUUAGUAAUGCAUACCCUGAAGUGGCAUCAAUGAUUUGAUCAAUAUGGGGCAGAGGAUAAAAAUCCUUCGGACAAGCUUUAUUCAGGUCGGUGUAGUCGAUGCAAACCCGCCACUUUCCAUUAUGCUUCUGCACCAACACUACAUUGGCUAUCCACUGUGGGUAGUCGAUUUCAAAAAUGAAGUCAGCAGCUAUCAGCUUAGCAAUCUCCUCAUCAAUGAUCCUCUGAUGCUCAGGUGCAACGAUUCGCCUUUUUUGUCGAACUGGCUUUUUCGAUGGAUCUACCUCCAACCUGUGCUCGACAAUUUUUCGGCUAAUUCCUGGCAUAUCUUGUGGUUCCCAGGCAAAGAUGUCUGCAUAGCAUCGAAGGAGUUCCAUAAGGUUCAUCCGAAGAGGUUCUGGAAGACCCGAACCAAUCUUCACCGUCUUGUCUGGCUUUCCAAGGACUAGCUCGAUCUCUUCCGCCUCUCCUGCAGAAAUUACCAAUGGCUCCGAGCUGCUUUCAGUGAAGGGCUCGAUCUCAAUUGCAAUGGUUUAUUUCUGUUUGCUGACCCCCACUCCGAAAGAAAUAACCGCAUUUCUAUAACAUCGUCGGGCCAGAUCUAAGUCCCCUGCCACUUCUCCGACUCCAUAUGUUGUGGGGAACUUGAUUUUGAAGUGAGGGAUGGAAGUUACCGCUUGGAGAGCGGUCAGUGUAGGCCUUCCCAAUAUGGCGUUGUAAGCCAAAUCUACAUGCACAACAUAAAAUUUACAUAUUAGUUCUACCUUUUGAGGAGCUGUGCCGAAGAUUACUGGGAGCUCGAUGGUGCCUGCAACUCUAACCGGAUCGUUGUUAAAGCCAUUUAAAGGAGCCUCCUGCCCGACCUCCAUCUUCCGCCCAUCAAGAUGCAUCCUCUGAUAAGCAUGGGCAUAUAAAAUGUCUACAGAAGACCCGUUGUCUAUCAUCAUGCGCUUCACAUCUACCAAACCCUCCUGCGCUGUGAUCACCAACGCCCCCUCAUGCGGCUCGAUAGGCUCCGAAGGAUAAUCCGCAUCGGUGAAAGAAAUAACAGUCCCUGGAAAAGGUCUGUCGGCCUUUGGGGGAGCACCCGCCAUGGACAUGACCGAAUCCAUAUAUCCUCUCCCUCUUCUUCCCUAUCAACUUCCCUGCCGUCCCGCCGGUUAUUACAUCAACGACGUGCCUUGGCGGUGGUAUUGGAAUACUUUGGGCUAGUAGGACCGUUUGAAUGGUCUGGACAGUAUGAUUAGCAUUUUGCUGACCUUGUUGGUCCCUCCCAGCCACGUACUGAACCAGUAAACCGUUUUGAAUCUUCCUCUCUACGAAAUCUUUCAAAUUGCAACAUUCAUUAGUAUCGUGACCAGCGGCUUGAUGGUAGCCACAAUAUUUUCGGGUAUUGCCCUGCCCUGGCUUGAUUUGGUCACGAGGCGGCUCAUAGAAUGGCUGGUUCCUAAUCUGGUCCAAAAUCACCGACCUAUCCGUGUUCAGCUUGGUGUAAACCUUAUUCACCUUCGAGGCGGACGCAGGUGGACGACUACUCCCCUGUCGCCAUGAGUUAUUGAACUUCUUCGAACUGCCCUCUGGCCGAUCAUUAUAUCCUCCCCCCUUUCUCUGAUCGCCAUCUGCCUUAGGAGCAUUUGUAUCCUUUAAUUGGUCCGAAGAAGGACGUUUCAGGCUAUUCAUAGCCUCCUCUACAACAAUUUAUCCUUCUGCUUUGUCAAAAGCUUCUGCCAGGCUCUUCGGAUGGUGGAACAUCAACUUCUUCACCAACUUCUCGGACUUUACCAGAUCUAGCCCAUUCUGAAACAAAACUACGACCUGGAGAUCAUUGAGGUCGGACACCUGACCAACUGCUUCUCUGAACCUCUUAACAUAUUGACCCAAUGACUCGUUGGUGAACUACCGGACCUGUGCUAAUGAACCAGUGGGCUUCCCUCUCCUUUGGUUAUUCCCAAAGCGGGCAUGGAACUUAUCACAAAGCUCGAUCCAAGAGGAAAUUGAAUCUGACGGCAAAGUCCCCAUCCACUACCUCGCAUCUUUCCUCAAUGUCGUAACAAAUGUGUGACAUUUGGCCGCAUCAGUGAAAUCAUAAUAGUCCAUCAGCCGGUCGAACGCCUGGCUAUGGUCGUAAGGAUCCCCGGACCCAUCGUAGCUCUCCAUGCGAGGAAACUUCUUGGUGAUAUCUGCCUUCUCCUUAAGAAUAUCUGAGGAAAAAGGUGAUGCCUUCUUUCCCGGCUUGUCCUUCACCUGUUGAACCUCAGCCAACUACUUUCGGAGCUCUUUCAGCUCCUUCACUAAGAAAUCAACACCUUCGGGCUGCGAGGAGAUCUCUUUCUCCUGAAUGACAUUCUGUCUAUGAGUGGAUCGACCCCACUGCCUUUGUUGGGCUUAUGGAUCUACUCUGGCGUACAAUUUUAUCCUCAUGAUGAGAAUGCACACGCUGACGCUCUCUUCUUCUAGUUUCUGGCACGAUCUCCCUCGACUUGCUCGUUCGCCUGUCGUCGUCUCGAUGAUGAGAACCAACGACCACCAAUGCCUUCUUCGAGGCCACGGGAGUUCUGCUUCUCGAUCUCCUUCUACCAUGAGAACGAUCCCUAGACACAUGUAUGGAAUGCUCCGGCUCUUUCCCCUCUCGUCGUCGCACCUCCUCAUGCUUACUCCGCUUUUUGGACUGAACAUGGCUAGAUGCUUCGUCCCUUAACUCCGCCACCCGAAGCAUCUGUUCGGCUAUAUCUUCCCUCUGCUUUAAUAGGAUCUCCAAGGCUUUAUCUGCUUCAUCUACCAUCCUCGUCAACUUGGCAGCUCUGUCCUCCUGACCACUUCGGCUAUGAAUCUUGGUCGGUGAGCCCUCUGCCCGCCCUCAACCACGAUCACACUCUUUAUCAGCAUCAAAGACCAACCUCCGUCUGGCUCCACCAUGGAUCUUCGGACGGAGAUCACCCGAAUUAUGCUUAGAGGCCGUGCUCUCGUGAGCACUUUUAGAAGGACUCAUACGAUCCUUUACCAAAAUACGAGGCAGUGACGAGCUUACAGCCAUCGCCUGCCCCUCUGGCGUACCGUCUCUACUCCUCACCAUCUUUUGAAGUAGAUUAAAUGGAUGUGGUUGAAAAUUUCAAUGACACUAGAACUCAACCCUCCUUCUAGCGCCAAUGUUAAUGCCAAGAUCUUUUGCCGCGUACCAAUCACGUAAGACGCCUGAUCUUGCACAGUAAACAUGAUAAACACCACGAGCUUGACGGCUUCAACCGUCGGGGGAUAUCUCAGGCGUGAGAGUCAGUAUCGCUGUUCAUAAGGUUAACAAUGGAGGAUGUAAUGUCUAAUGUAUUGAGAGAGAGAUAAUAAUUCUUCAUUGUGUGUGUAUGAAUAUGAAUGUGAACAUACCUGGUUGUGAAGACUUGGUUGAUAGGAUAUACUCUCUUGCCCGGUUUACCGUGCCACCUACUACUAACUGACACAACCCCCUGAUCUGAUGGGUUCUGCCGACUGCAUGCAGUCUAUCCACUACCUUUGGUCACUGUUUAUGCCGCCGGCCGGCUAUAAUCCCAUCCACAUUAAUGCAUGGCAGGUGUCUCAGUCAACUGUCAUGCUUUUUCAU